rnacentral:rRNA from 1 species
GAUGAACGCUGGCGGCGUGCCUAAUACAUGCAAGUCGAGCGAACAGACGAGGAGCUUGCUCCUCUGACGUUAGCGGCGGACGGGUGAGUAACACGUGGAUAACCUACCUAUAAGACUGGGAUAACUUCGGGAAGCCGGAGCUAAUACCGGAUAAUAUAUUGAACCGCAUGGUUCAAUAGUGAAAGACGGUUUUGCUGUCACUUAUAGAUGGAUCCGCGCCGCAUUAGCUAGUUGGUAAGGUAACGGCUUACCAAGGCAACGAUGCGUAGCCGACCUGAGAGGGUGAUCGGCCACACUGGAACUGAGCCACGGUCCAGACUCCUACGGGAGGCAGCAGUAGGGAAUCUUCCGCAAUGGGCGAAAGCUUGACGGAGCAACGCCGCGUGAGUGAUGAAGGUCUUCGGAUCGUAAAACUCUGUUAUUAGGGAAGAACAAAUGUGUAAGUAACUAUGCACGUCUUGACGGUACCUAAUCAGAAAGCCACGGCUAACUACGUG